rnacentral:rRNA from 1 species
AUAUCAAUAAGCGGAGGAAAAGAAACCAACAGGGAUUGCCCUAGUAACGGCGAGUGAAGCGGCAACAGCUCAAAUUUGAAAUCUGGCCCUAGUGGUCCGAAUUGUAAUUUGUAGAGGAUGCUUUGGGCGCGGUGCCUUCCGAGUUCCUUGGAACAGGACGCCUUAGAGGGUGAGAGCCCCGUACGGUUGGACACCAAGCCUAUGUAAAGCUCCUUCGACGAGUCGAGUAGUUUGGGAAUGCUGCUCUAAAUGGGAGGUAAAUUUCUUCUAAAGCUAAAUACCGGCCAGAGACCGAUAGCGCACAAGUAGAGUGAUCGAAAGAUGAAAAGUACUUUGAAAAGAGGGUUAAAUAGCACGUGAAAUUGUUGAAAGGGAAGCAUUUAUGACCAGACCUUUGCUAGGUGGAUCAUCCGGUGUUCUUCACCGGUGCACUUCGCCUAGCUUAGGCCAGCAUCGAUUUCUGUAGGGGGAUAAAGGUCUAGGGAACGUAGCUCUCUUCGGAGAGUGUUAUAGCCCUGGGCGUAAUACCCUUACGGGGAUCGAGGUUCGCGCUUCGGCAAGGAUGCUGGCAUAAUGGUCAUCAAUGA